ACCAGCAGCCAUAUCACUCAGAAACUCACAACGGGCAGCCCACUGAAGCUCAGCAGGUGUGAGCCUGGUCAGUACCUGGAUGGGAGACUCCUGGGAAAAACUAAGGUUGCUGCUGGAA
rfam:Lepisosteus oculatus linkage group LG1, whole genome shotgun sequence.